rnacentral:rRNA from 1 species
UCUGGCGUGCUCAGUGCGUCCGAGUUGUAAUCUAUAGAGGCGUUUUCCGUGCCGGACUGUGUCUAAGUCCCUUGGAACAGGGUAUCAAAGAGGGUGAUAAUCCCGUACUUGACACAAUGACCGGUGCUCUGUGAUACGUCUUCUACGAGUCGAGUUGUUUGGGAAUGCAGCUCAAAAUGGGUGGUGAGUUCCAUCUAAAGCUAAAUAUUGGCGAGAGACCGAUAGCGAACAAGUACCGUGAGGGAAAGAUGAAAAGCACUUUGGAAAGAGAGUUAAACAGUACGUGAAAUUGUUGAAAGGGAAACGAUUGAAGUCAGUCGUGACUGAGAGGCUCAGCCGGUUCUGCCGGUGUAUUCCCCUCAGUCGGGUCAACAUCAGUUUUGUUCGGUGGAUAAGGGCAGCUGGAAGGUGGCACCUCCGGGUGUGUUAUAGCCAGCUGUCGCAUACAUCGAAUGAGACUGAGGAAUGCAGCUCGCCUUUAUGGCCGGGGUUCGCCCACGUCCGAGCUUAGGAUGUUGACAUAAUGGCUUUAAACGACCCGUCUUG